rnacentral:rRNA from 1 species
GACGUAGGGGGGCAAGCGUUGUCCGGAAUCAUUGGGCGUAAAGCGCUCGUAGGCGGACUUUUAAAUCGGUGAAGAAAGACCUGGGCUCAACUCAGGGAACGGCAUCGAUACUAUUGGUCUUGAGGUAAUUAGAGGAUAGUGGAAUUCCCGGUGUAGUGGUGAAAUGCGUAGAUAUCGGGAGGAACACCAGUGGCGAAGGCGACUAUCUGGGGUGCAACUGACGCUGAGGCGCGAAAGGCUAGGGUAGCAAACAGGG